rnacentral:rRNA from 1 species
UACGGAGGGUGCUAGCGUUAUCCGGAUUCACUGGGCUUAAAGGGCGCGUAGGCGGGCAAGUAAGUCAGUGGUGAAAUCUCCGGGCUUAACCCGGAAACUGCCAUUGAUACUAUUUGUCUUGAAUACUGUGGAGGUCAGCGGAAUAUGUCAUGUAGCGGUGAAAUGCUUAGAUAUGACAUAGAACACCAAUUGCGAAGGCAGCUGGCUACACAAAUAUUGACACUGAGGCACGAAAGCGUGGGGAUCAAACAGG